rnacentral:rRNA from 1 species
AGAGAGAGACAUGCGCGCAUAUCAAUAAGCGGAGGAAAAGAAACUAACUAGGAUUCCCUCAGUAACGGCGAGUGAAGCGGGAAGAGCUCAAAUUUGAAAUCUUCAAGGUUCUACCUUGACGAAUUGUAGUUUAAAGAAGUGUUUUCUGUUGGAGUUUUGGUAAAAGUUCUUUGGAAUAGGACAUCAUAGAGGGUGAGAAUCCCGUAUUUGACCAUUAUUUCAGCUGUGUGAUACACUUUCAAAGAGUCGGAUUGUUUGGGAAUGCAGUCCAAAAUGGGUGGUAAAUUUCAUCUAAAGCUAAAUAUUGGCGAGAGACCGAUAGCGAACAAGUACCGUGAGGGAAAGAUGAAAAGAACUUUGAAAGAGAGUUAAACAGUACGUGAAAUUGUCAAAAGGGAAGCGUUUGACACCAGUGUUGUUUUCUCGAAAAUCAAUUAAAAAAGGCAGGAUUUUGUGUUGUAUUGACUUUAUCAGCUUUCUGCACUCUUUUCUUGUCUUUUUUAAUGCACUUUUCGUUUAACAAGUCAACAUCAAUUUCUUUUGUUGUAAAAGGGUCAUUGGAAGGUGGCUUUCUUUUCGGAGAAAGUGUUUAUAGCCUUUGGCCUCUGCAAUCGGAGAGAUUGAGGUCUGCAGCGUAGAUCCUUCGGGGUUAGAUACAUUUGUGCUAAGUUAUAGCCUUUCAUAGACAACUUGUUGACUAUGAUCAGUCAUGUAGCUUACUCGCUUAUGCUAUUUUACCUACGCUUAGGAUGUUGAUGUGAUACUGCGAGCA